GACGAACGCUGGCGGCGUGCUUAACACAUGCAAGUCGAACGAUGAACCCCAGCUUGCUGGGGGGAUUAGUGGCGAACGGGUGAGUAACACGUGAGUAACCUGCCCUGGACUCUGGGAUAACCCCGAGAAAUCGGAGCUAAUACCGGAUAGGACCUUGGAUCGCAUGAUUCUUGGUGGAAAGGUUUUCGGUUUGGGAUGGACUCGCGGCCUAUCAGCUUGUUGGUGAGGUAAUGGCUCACCAAGGCGUCGACGGGUAGCCGGCCUGAGAGGGUGACCGGCCACACUGGGACUGAGACACGGCCCAGACACCUACGGGUGGCUGCAGUCGAGGAUCUUCGGCAAUGGGCGAAAGCCUGACCGAGCGACGCCGCGUGCGGGAUGAAGGCCUUCGGGUUGUAAACCGCUGUCAGUGGGGAGGAAAUACUGGUGGGAACACCCUCCAGUUUGACCUAUCCGCAGAGGAAGGACGGGCUAAGUUCGUGCCAGCCGCCGCGGUAACAC
rnacentral:rRNA from 1 species